GUUCUUUUAGUAUUAACUAGUACAAGUGAUUUCCACUCACUAAGCCUUAAUAAAAAUUUAAGAAAGAACA
rnacentral:tRNA from 1 species